CUGGAUCAACGUUUGAGAACGCACAAGAUUACUAGUAUUAAAUAAAAAAACAAUAUUUAAAAAAAAUAGCCUGCUCCGCAAGGCCCUAGGCGUGCCGCUUGACUGGCACGACAUGUCGGGCCUGGCCUGUCACGUGUCGUGUGAGCGCGCUCGCAGACGGUUUGGCCAGCUUUGUCCACGCGUCAGUCCAAGCCCCUCCUCCACGCGCGACCGCUUCUCCCGGAGCUCUGCCUCACCGUGCCAUGACCCAUCAUCGCCGGCAUGCCCGUCCGUCGUCCCUACCGCAUCUCCCCGAGCUAGCAUCGCAUCCUCCUUCCUCUGGCACACGCACGCACGCUGGCUCAGGAACCCAGGCUGUGCGUCGCGCGACGCGACCGGACAGAACAGGUGCAUUCGACGUAGCCGGGAGGCAGCAGGACGCGGCCGGCCAAGAUCGGCGGCUGGAGAGUGCCGGCCCGGCCAUGCCGUCCAGCGAGCGCGAUGGCCCCUGAUUUAUACCAGAUCCUAGCUCGCCGCACUGGCCGCGGCGCGCGGAUGGCAGGGUGGGGCACGCGAGGCAGGCGGUGUGCGUGCCGGCUCCCGCGCGCCUGCUGCGUGCGCUCAUGUGUGCUUGUCUCGGUGAGGAGUUGUGCGUGCGCCUUGUGUCGUCAACGUCCUGGAUGGUGCACACCAGGUGUUCGACCAAAUGCGUGCCCUUGGAAAUGUGCUAACCAAUCUCGUUUUUGGCCAUGGCUCCGUCAGCAUCGAGUACGGUGACGCCGGCGCUUCGUACCUGUAUAUAGAGGGCGGCUUGCUGCACGGCCAAGAGAUCGCAGAUCCAAUAGCUGGGUUGGACUGGAGUACUUACUGAGGUAGCCUUCGGGGAUCAGACGCCUCUCCGGGUCUGGCGGAUGUGGGCGUUCAAGCACCCUACUUUAUACUGGCUGACUGCGCUGAACCAGCCGGUGGGCGUUGCUCCGGCUCCGAGUACCGAGCUACGUUCCGGACCGGUCUGCCGGCAGUCAUCCUCGAUCUGAACCGCUCAACGGCAAUGUGUGGAACCGCAGGUGGGGUUCCAUAUCUUGAAGUCUGGAAUGCUGUCCCGACCAGAAUAAGCACUGAACGGACCAGACUGGCAUUUUUGUUGAGAUGGUGUUGUGAUGAUCUCCUGAAGUAUGCAGCAGCAUCUCUCAUGCACAUUCUCUCUGUUGGUGCAUGAUUGCUGCAUGAUAGCGCAACCUCCAAGACAUAUGGCAUUGCUGCCGUGUUCCAUUGUGUUGUUUCCAUCCUGCAGACUAGUCAGAUUGGCUUCUUCAAUCGACAGUAGGACUGGAUCAACAAUCUGC